UACGAAGGGGGCUAGCGUUGCUCGGAAUCACUGGGCGUAAAGGGUGCGUAGGCGGGCCUUUAAGUCAGGGGUGAAAUCCUGGAGCUCAACUCCAGAACUGCCUUUGAUACUGAGGAUCUUGAGUUCGGGAGAGGUGAGUGGAACUGCGAGUGUAGAGGUGAAAUUCGUAGAUAUUCGCAAGAACACCAGUGGCGAAGGCGGCUCACUGGCCCGAUACUGACGCUGAGGUGCGAAAGCGUGGGGAGCAAACAGG
rnacentral:rRNA from 1 species